rnacentral:rRNA from 1 species
AUGUCCACCAGCAACAGUAAUCCUGGGGUUGGUGAUGACACAAGGGUCGUUUACUGGGAUUUAUGUCCCGGAAAUCCAGCCCCGACACCUGUUGUCUCAGUCAAAAUAGGAGAUCACUAUUAUCAUGGUUUAUGUGACAUAGGUGCUAGCAUGAGUGCUAUUCCUUUUACCUUAUAUCAAGAAAUUAUGGAUGAUAUAGCACCCCCUGAAAUAGAAGACAUAGAUGUUACUAUUAAACUUGCUAAUAGAGACACCAUCACACCACUUGGGAUUGUUAGAGAUGUUGAAGUCUUGUGUGGGAAAGUAAAAUACCCUACUGAUUUUCUAGUUCUUGGUUCCCCACAAGAUGAUUUCUGCCCAUUAUUUUUGGUAGACCUUUCUUGA